UACGAAGGGUGCAAGCGUUACUCGGAAUUACUGAGCGUAAAGCGUGCGUAGGUGGUUCGUUAAGUCUGAUGUGAAAGCCCUGGGCUCAACCUGGGAAUGGCAUUGGAUACUGGCGAUCUAGAGUGCGGUAGAGGGCAGUGGAAUUCCCGGUGUAGCAGUGAAAUGCGUAGAGAUCGGGAGGAACAUCUGUGGCGAAGGCGACUGCCUGGACCAGCACUGACACUGAGGCACGAAAGCGUGGGGAGCAAACAGG
rnacentral:rRNA from 1 species